GGGGCCGCAAUGCCAUUAUACUUGGUUACAAAACGUUGACAACACCGGAUCAAAAAUGUUUUGGGAUCUACUCGGUGGAAUUUUUGAGUUUAUUUUCGGGCUCUUGUUUCCUAGUUCCGGUAGUGGGGACGAACCAGACUCCGAGGAGGUGGAAACCACUUGAUGGCCUACAUGGGCUAACAUAUUAUUUUUUCAAUUUUAAGAUUUCCAUGUUUUUGCUUUAUUACAUCUACGUAAAAUUUGUAUAUUAAACAAGAAUUGCUUCAACAGCUA